UGCGAGAAGAAAACGAGGAAGAAAGCCUAUGCGAAAACAAAAUGGAAACGAAAACAAGGACACCACCCUCGUCGUUUAUGGAUACGUAAGAUUUAUGACUUCUGCCGCACACAGGCAGCUGUAAACACGCAACUUUAAAAAGUGUGGAGCGAACUGCAUGGGACUUGGCUAUUCACCUUUUGCUACGCGAUUGUUCGUCAUUUGAUUCCUCUAACUUGCACAGAAGACCCAGUGCCAACAUUCCAUUAUAUUGUGAGCUCAUGCUGUGUUCUUCUGUCAAAGGUUUUCUUAGUAGAAUGCAGUAUCAUGUUGUUGAAAUGUACAUUUAAAUCCCACAUUGCAAAAAUAAAUAUCCUUUGACAUAUAUCCAUUGCUACAAUGCCAAGGACAUACACACAAAAGAUUAACAUUGACGGGUCAUCCUAUACACACUAGUGGGACUUAUUGUUAAUGGUAAAAUAAUUUCUUCUUGUUUUAUCUCAACACGUACAGUCCAUGCUGAUAAAAAAAUCAAAUAUAUACGAAUGUUAAUUCCGGUUUCAAUUUUAGAAUUUAAAGGACAUUUUUAGACAGAAUUGGCAUUUUCCUUCUCUGUUAUUAACACAUGAUUGAAUUAAAUGUGUCUUUCUUUUUAAUUUAUGGCUGAGCAUUAUUUCAUAUUGGUUAUGAAUACAAAUCAAUAAUUCACAUAACAGACUGUCACUGCAAAACACAAGCACAGGAAGCAACAUUUCCUCCACAAGCACAUAAUCCGACGAUAUGAAUUAUGGUCACACCUUGCAGAUUAA